rnacentral:lncRNA from 1 species
UAAAAGGUAAGAUUGAGAUUAAAUUGAAAACGAAUAAACAUGACUUACAUAAUGGAAACCACCCUGAUAAAGCCUCGUAAGUGUUUUCGUACACAUGGUUCUAGGUUGAUUUUUGAUGAUUCCAAGAUCCAGAAAUUGUUGCGGAUUCGAAGAUACAUUUGACAUAGGUUUAGCUCGAACAAGUAAUCUGAUGUCUUUUUAUAGGUUUUGCCUGGACGAGUAACCUUACAUGUAUAUACAGCCCAGACCAAGCUAUUUGAUGUGUUGAUAUAAAGGUUUAGUCCGGAUGGGUAACCUGACACGAAUAUAUGUUCUGCUAGGACGAGAAACAGAUGUGGUUAAUUACCGAUGAUUACUGAGAUUCAACAUUUGUUGCAGACUCGAAGAUACAUGUGACACAGGUUUAGCUCGAAUGAGUAACUUGAUGUCGUUUUAAAGGUUUAGCUCAGACGAGUAACCUGACAUGUAUAUUUACAGCUUUGGUCAGGCCAUUUGAUGUGUCUAUAAAAGGUUUAACCCAGAUGGGCAACCUGAUACGAACGAAUAUGUUUAGCUUGGAU